rnacentral:misc_RNA from 1 species
CGCGUGACUGACUACAUAUAGGUGCACAUCCUUCCGAUAUAUAGGCAUUGAAGGCGCGCGCCGUGCUUAAAUUUCGCGGCGGUGGUGCUUGGCCCUAGUCCGUCGCCCACUUCUAUCUUGUUGGUGUGCAUGCCCGCCGACGAAUUCAACUUGGUCGUCAAUCACCAGGACCAUCCACCACCCUCCCCCCCCCCACAGACACGCGCACACGGCGCCCUUGCGCUUCUUAUUCCACACCCCUUCCCCUUGCCCUUUUUGCCCCUCCUCUCCCCCUUGCAGCGGAGGUUUGGGUUCAAGUCCUUCCCACCCCACCCAUCACACGCACAGAUAGGCACACAGCGAGUCAAGAAGAACCGAGAAGGAAGAAACAACACGCCAAAAGAGGGGAACCAUCGCAGCACGAGUACGGGCGCAUACGCUCACACGGUCCUCACCCCCUCGUGCCGAGGGUUCAGCGCCUCCCUCUCUGGCUCUCUGCUUUUCAUCUUGCGGUGCAUAUUGCGUGCGCGCGUGUGUGUGUGCCUUGUCGCGGGACGCUUCGCCGCUCUCCGUUUUUUGCCGUCCGCGCUUCCACUGACUCUCCCCUCCCUCUUUGCCUUUGCCUUCACGGAAGCCAUGCCUGUCCACUACAGCGAAGCUGUGGAGCGGGCCAUGGCGGAGGUGUGCCCGCCGCGCGACGCAUUGGACGCCGCCGACUUUGACCCUGUAGUCUACCUGAACAGUCGCUUCCCUGACGAGGCAAGUCUCGGGGCGCUGCCAGCCUUUCUCGAUGAGGCGAACGAGCGCCUCCGCAAGACGGAGAAUCAGCUGCUGAAGGCGGUGGAGCAGCAGGCGAGCAACGCGACGAGCGCGGAGAGCGACCUCAAGGGCGCCAAGGAGGCGGUGGCGCAGCUUUACGUGCGUGUGUCGGAAAUCAGGACGCAAGCGUCCGACAGCGAGGAAAUAGUGAAGGACCUGUGCCAGAACAUCCGCGAGCUCGAUGUGGCCAAGACAAACCUCACGUCCAGCAUCAACACGCUGCGCUCUGUGCAGCUGUGGAUGCUGCAACUGCAGGUACUCUCUUCGUCUUUUGAAAAGCGCCGCUUCUCACAAGCGCGUGAUGCCUUGCAGGAGGCUCUAAAGUACUCUGCCAUGUUCGCGAAGAUGAAGGACAUCCCGAAAGUGAAGGAGCUCAACGACAAGCAGACCCAGCUGUGCCGGCAGGCGGAGUACUACAUUCGCAACACCGUCUUUGGUGAAGUGAACUUGGAAGCGAUGGACGAUAGUCGGAUGGCUGAAGCGUGCGCCGUAGUGGACCUCAUGGAGGAGGAGAGCAAGAAGAAGCUGCGAGAUCGCUUCAUCGACAAGCUCCUCGAGUGCUACUCGCUGCGCUUCAAACGCGGCACCGACGAAGCCAAGCUGGAGCGGACGGAGCGGCGCUACGUGUUCCUGCGCGGGCUGCUGGAGCGCUACGACAGCGUCUUCAAGAACGUCUUCCCGCGGCACUGGUGCGUGCCGCAGGAGCUGUGUGUAACUUUUUGCCUGCACACAAAGCAGGAGCUCGACUACGCGCUGCGCGAGGCCGCCAACAAGAUCGACGUGGUCGUGCUCACAUAUGUCAUUCAAAAGACGAUCGACAUCGAGCGCGACCUCACCCAGAUGAUGACGUGGAAGGACGAGUUUGCCAUCAAGCGGAAACUGCCGGUGUACAAGUACAACGGCAUGAUCCUCUCCGCCUUCAAGGCGCACAUGGGACUCCUCGUGCAAAACGAGGACCGGCUCAUGCGGGAGGCCCUGGCGCAGCCGCUUAUCGGCAGCGGCGACUCGCUGUGCCCCGGCUGGAACAGCAUCGACGAGGAGACGCGCAGCGGCACCUACCUUCCUAUCGCUGAGGACAUCUUCGUCUUCAUCAAGGAGAGUCUUAAGCGGGCGCUGCGCAUCGCGCAGCAGGAUGUCCUCCUCGAGAUGGCCGAGGUGUGGCGUCGCCAUCUUAUCGAACUCGCGCAAGCGGUGAGCGCGCUCUUGCCCAACCCGGCCUCCAGCCCCCUCGAGCGGCGACGUGCCUGCAUCAUCUUGAACACGGCUGACCUAUGCCAGUCCACGAGUCAAGACCUGGGCGAUGAGGUGUGCGCGCGCAGCGAGGCGCCGCCGCGCGAGGUGGCGUUCGACCAGGUGAAAGAGGCCUUCUCCACCGUCUACACAAAGUCGAUUCAGUCGAUUCUGCAGGGGCUUGAGCUGCAGCUGGCGCCCAUGCUCGUGGACUACGGCAACGGCGGGUUUCUCCCCAAAAAGGGCACGGCUGCCCACGGCGCCAACGGUGGUGGCGCGGCGGAUGAGUCAAAGCUGGUGCGCGACAUCACGGCAACGGUACACGACGCAUUCUUGAGCUGCGCUGCCGUGAUGCCGCCGACAGCGCUGCGCUUUCUUCUGGACAAGAUGGCAGCAACGUUCAUUCCAGAGUACGGCAACACGCUCUACCGUCUGCGCAGGCUGCCGGAUGAUGGCAUCAGCUGCAUGCGUGUCGACGCGGCAGCGCUGGAGAAGACAUUCUUGCAGCUGCCCAACUACAACGAUCCUGCUCGCUUUCCCGCGUCGGCGCUGACGGGGUACGUGCGCCUGGUGCGCAAGGAGUUUGACCAACUGAAUCGUGCGCUGAAGGUGCUGCAGGUCGACGCGCGCACCGACGCCUUCAUCGAGGUCUACUACGAAGUGGUUCUGCCGGAGAAUCGCUCGAUCCACAACUUUGUCCGCCUGGUCGAGCUUAAGGGACUGCGGCGCGAGGAUGUGCGGGCGUGGGUGGCCACCCUGUCGAAGCGUGGCGUCGUGGAGGCGACGAAGCGGGACUUCCAACGCGAGGCGUCGCUCGGGCUCUCCACUGGCGUGUCCUCCGGCGCCGCAGGGGGUGGCGCGUCCAUCGCCAGCGGCGUUAGUCUGAACUUUGCAGCGCUCUUCACACGUGAUGCAUCCGCCCCGCUGGCGCCACCGCGACUCCCCAACGCGAGCUCGGCAGUGUUGCCAGCCACCGGUGGUCAUUUUUCCCUGUCCAACCUUGUCUCCACCAUCGGCGGCGGUGGAAUGAACGGCGCAGCAGCGAGCAGCGACGGCGCAGGUGGGACGGCCGCGACCGCCGAAGACGGUGCCGCGGAGGAGGAGAGGCUCGGGUCUAUCUUUACCACAAUGGCGCGCAGCACGGCCACCUCCAUGAACUUCUUGAACAAGCUCAAGCGUGGUGACGGAAAGCAGUGACGCGGGCGGCAUGAGGCGCGGCGUGCAACACUCCCUCGGUCGGCCACGACAGAGAAGUGACUGCACAGCCCACGCGGCGCUAUUCACGUGGGCCGCAUGACGCCAACGAGGCAAUCACACCCCGGACAUGUGGCAGCGCGGGCUUUUCGAGUGUUUCCUUGUUUUCUUUGCCCGUUGUCUCCUCCUGUUGCGUUGUGACGUGCAGGCGCGGGUGGUGGACACGGUGCCGAUGCACACCAGAAAAAGUCUACGUGUGGCGUGCCUGUCGUUCUUUGGCGCCCUUUUCCCGCGACGUGGUAGACUUGGCCGACGACGGGGUGAAGGAAACGAAACGACGGCGCACGCCGCACACACUCUGCUUCCUCUCUCUUGUCCCACAGCUGCACGCAAACGGUGGAAGUUUGGUUGCACGCUCUCUAUAUAUCCUUGUCUAGACACGUCGUCGAUGCACACCGGGGCUGUGCUUCGCUGGGAUUCAGUAAAGCGCGAGCUGCCGAGACAGCGAAGAAAAGGCCUCUGUCAUGAUUGCGGUACGAAAGGGAGCCCCACGGCCGCGUUCUGAACCGAUUCGUACCUAUUCAGCAUACAUGAAAGCACUC